GGCCAAAUGGUCUAGUAGUAUGAUUCGCCCUUCGGGUCCAACCGCCUUCUGAAGGUUAAACUGGGCGAGGUCCCGGGUUCAAUUCCCGGUUUGGCCC
rnacentral:tRNA from 1 species